UACGGAAUGUGCAAACGUUAUUCGGAAUCACUGGGCUUAAAGAGUCUGUAGGCGGUUUGUUAGGUGAGGUGUGAAAUCCCUCGGCCCAACCGAGGAAUUGCGCUUCAAACCGGCGAGCUAGAGGAGGAUAGAGGUGGGCGGAACUGAUGGUGGAGCGGUGAAAUGCGUUGAUAUCAUCAGGAACACCGGAGGCGAAAGCGGUCCACUGGGUCCUUUCUGACGCUGAUGGACGAAAGCUAGGGGAGCGAACAGG
rnacentral:rRNA from 1 species